CGCUUAUUUUUUUUUAUGUGUAAUUAAUAAUUAAUAUGUUUCUAAGUUUAUUAAAAACCCUUUUAAGGAUAUUAUACUUUCCUCCAAAUUUCCAUAUAUUAAAUUCUUAAAUUAAUUGUUUAAAUUCUGACCAGCUUCGUUUGAAGAAUAUCCCUAACACCACUUUAAGAUUAUAUACAACAUAUUGAAUCUUUAUCACCACAAUCUUUGCUACACUUCCUCUUGUCAUCAAUCUAGGUUUUCCACAUCUCCAACCGUCACUAUCAUCAGACCACUCCUCACCACCGCCGGAGCAUCAUUGCGCAUACGCACCACCAUCGCACCAUUAUCACAUCACUAUUCAACUCCCCUUUAAGUUUUCCGGCCUGCAAACCUAGGUAAGAACAACAAGAAUCAUGGCCCUAUCUUCUCUCAUCUAAUCUUAUUUUCUAACUCAUAAUUUUUUUUUUUAUGUUAAAGGUAAUUCAAUGAUACUAAUUCCAUUAAAGCAUCAUUGUCUGUUUUGUUUUAUGCUAUUUCGAUCAUCCAUUAUAUUAUUAAGUCAUAUAAAAGAUAAAACAAAAUGAAUGUUAUCUUUGCAUAAUUUUUCCUUACAACUAUAAAUUUAUGAGUAAAAUUAUGCAUGGAGCAUCAUUUAUAGCUUUAUUUAAGCACAUUGGAUGAGUUAAUGAACCAAUCCCAAAUGAUAAUCAUUAAAGGACCCUCAUCUUUUAUUAGGAACAAGGUAGAAAACCAACCUAUAAUGCAUAACAACAAUUUUGAUUGUUUGUACAAAUUAAAAAUGAUCUUUUAUUUGUAAAUAAACUGCAACUGUGGUUCUUGUGACCUGUGAGGUAACUACUAAAACCUAACUUGAACAUUCAUGAGUUGAAAAUUAUAAACUGUUACUAUAGGUUCUGGAUGAGUUGAAGACAAUCCUAAUACCACAUCUGAAAUAUAUACUUUCCAAAAUGAUGAGAAGCAGUGGUUAAUUGUGUUUGUAUCUAAAGUUACACCCAAUAAGGACCAAGCAUACAAAGCAUACAAGAGGGUACAAAAAGUUUAUGGAAAUUGGAAGGCUUCAAGUUUAUUUCAACUCAAGCAAAAAAGAAAGGUAAAGUUGCAAUCACUGAUUAAUCUAUCAUGAAUUUCAUAUUAUAACUUUUGCAUCUUCGAUGAACUCAACUCAGGACUACUAGUUCAUCAGGUGCUGCAAAAUUUGAUCUACAUAGACCUGAAAUAACUUUUUGGGAAGACUUACAACUCAAAAUCAUGGAGUGCCUUAGAAACAGUCUUGAUAGGCGUAUCCACUUUUAGGAGGAUGAGAUUCAAAAUCUCAGUGAACAACGUUUUAUGUAUGUUUGGAGUUUAUGUAUUCUUUCAUUCUCAAGGUACC
rnacentral:lncRNA from 1 species